rnacentral:lncRNA from 1 species
UGCCAUCGAACAUCUCAAACUUGGGAGGUUUGUACCCCUCUGGCAGUUCCACAUCUGGUUGUAGGCAUAGGUCUUCAUAGUUCAAACCUUUUAUUCCUUUGCCACCUUCAUAACAACUAGGUCGGGAAUCCAAAUUAGAGUAAGAAUUUGAGAAGUAAAUGCGGAAACAAUAACAACAAGGAAUUGAACAACUAGAAUUAAAGAGAUGAAAAUAAAGGAUAUGGGACGAAUUCAAGGAAAGAAUUCCAAGAACGUCCAAGAACGUAAGUUCUAUAGCCUUGACAAGAUCAAAGUAACAACGUCUUGAUUUAUGGAAGAAAUCAAAUGCCUUUACUUAAAAAGCAAAUCAAAACAAUAGAUUCGGAUCUUGACCACUUUACGAGUAACUUGAGACAACAAUUAAUAACUAGUAUUAAUCGCCUUCUAAGAAUACCACAAAGGAAUCAAAGAUAUCAUAAAAGAGAAGUAAUCUUACUACCUUGAACUAAGAACUAGUAAAGGUUGAAAGAUAAAUCUCGAAGCACAAGUAACAAAGGUUCAAAAGAACUCUCAAAGUAUGAUAUACUUAAUCAAUAAAUGUUGUAUCUUAUGAAUGAGAAGAACUCCCUAUUUAUAGGAGUACUAAGUCAUAAAAGUCCUUAAAAUUAGGUAGGGUGGUUGCUAAGGCAUACAAAGUCAUUACAAUUAGGUAGGGUGGUUGCUAAAAAGUAAGAAAAGUCAUUAAGAUUAGGUGAGGGCGGCCAAGACCCUUUGGGGCAGAUUUGGGCCUUAAAACAACUAGUUUGGGCCAUUGGUUUGGACUCCAAUUGGGCUCCUUAUGAAACACCCCCUUUUGGACCUCUUUUAAACUUAUUUUGAGCCCUUUUUGAUGGACUUCAAGGGCUAAUUUGGUGACCCAAUCUUCCUCCUCUUGGACUUCAAUUUGGACCACCAUAUAAUUGUAAAAUUUGGACAAUUUAUUUCCUUUGGUCUUGAGCUCUUCCUCUACAAUUGAAAGCUUCUUUAUUUGCCAUUGAAGUCUAGCAACCUUAGUUUGCAACUCUUUAGCUUGAGAUCUUGUAUAUGGCCUUGGAGCUUCCAAAACUCUAUCCUUGUCCUUGAUGCUAUCACCUAGCCAAUUCACAUCCUUUAUCCUUGAGCUCUUCCUCCCAAUUAAUAACUUCUUCAUUUGCACUUGAAGUCUAAUGAUAUUGUUUUGUAAUUCUUUAGCUUAAACUCUUAUUAAAGGCCAUAUUUGAGAUUCAAAAGCUUCAUCCAUGUCCUUGAAUAGAGUUGAGCUUCCUAGGAUGCUAUCAUUCGACACCUUGGAC